GUGGGGAAUCUUCCGCAAUGGACGAAAGUCUGACGGAGCAACGCCGCGUGAGUGAUGAAGGUCUUCGGAUUGUAAAGCUCUGUUAAUCGGGACGAAAGAGCCUAGUGUGAAUAAUGCUAGGAAGUGACGGUACCGGAAUAGAAAGCCACGGCUAACUACGUGCCAGCAGCCGCGGUAAUACGUAGGUGGCAAGCGAUGUCCGGAAUUAUUGGGCGUAAAGCGCGCGCAGGCGGAUCUGCCAGUCUGUCUUAAAAGUUCGGGGCUUAACCCCGUGAUGGGAUGGAAACUACAGAUCUAGAGUAUCGGAGAGGAAAGUGGAAUUCCUAGUGUAGCGGUGAAAUGCGUAGAUAUUAGGAAGAACACCAGUGGCGAAGGCGACUUUCUGGACGAAGACUGACGCUGAGGCGCGAAAGACAGGGGAGCGAACGGGAUUAGAUACCCUGGUAGUCC
rnacentral:rRNA from 1 species